GAUGAACGCUGGCGGCGUGCCUAAUUCAUGCCAGUCGAGCGAACGGACGAGAAGCUUGCUUCUCUGAUGUUAGCGGCGGACGGGUGAGUAACACGUGGAUAACCUACCUAUAAGACUGGGAUAACUUCGGGAAACCGGAGCUAAUACCGGAUAAUAUUUUGAACAGCAUGGUUCAAAAGUGAAAGACGGUCUUGCUGUCACUUAUAGAUGGAUCCGCGCUGCAUUAGCUAGUUGGUAAGGUAACGGCUUACCAAUGCAACGAUGCAUAGCCGACCCGAGAGGGUGAUCGGCCACACUGGAACUGCGACACGGUCCAGACUCCUACGGGAGGCAGCAGUAGGGAAUCUUCCGCAAUGGGCGACAGCCUGACGGAGCAACGCCGCGUGAGUGAUGAAGGUCUUCGGAUCGUAAAACUCUGUUAUUCGGGAAGAACAUAUGUGUAAGUAACUGUGCACAUCUUGACGGUACCUAAUCAGAAAGCCACGGCUAACUACGUG
rnacentral:rRNA from 1 species